GACUAGAGGCUCUUCACUUUGGAGACUUGCUGCGGAUAUGAGUACGUACCGGCGCGACACCUCCACGUGGCCCUCUCCUGAAUAUUCAAGGUCCAAAGGGAGAAUCCAGACACCGCCGCAACUGCGGUGCUCUUCGCAUUCCAAACCC
rnacentral:rRNA from 1 species